rnacentral:rRNA from 1 species
GACGAACCGUGCGAACGUUAUUCGGAAUCACUGGGCGUAAAGCGCACGUAGGCGGGCUCUUAAGUCGGUGGUGAAAUCCUGGAGCUCAACUCCAGAACUGCCUUUGAUACUGAGAGGCUUGAGUCCGGGAGAGGUGAGUGGAACUGCGAGUGUAGAGGUGAAAUUCGUAGAUAUUCGCAAGAACACCAGUGGCGAAGGCGGCUCACUGGCCCGGUACUGACGCUGAGGUGCGAAAGCGUGGGGAGCAAACAGG